rnacentral:rRNA from 1 species
UACGUGAGGGGCAAGCGUUGUCCGGAUUUAUGGGCGUAAAGCGCGUGUAGGCGGCCAGGUAGGUCCGCUGUGAAAACUCGAGGCUUAACCUCGAGAGGUCGGCGGAAACCAUCUGGCUAGAGUCCGGAAGAGGAGAGUGGAAUUCCCGGUGUAGGCGGUGAAAUGCGCAGAUAUCGGGAAGAACACCCGUGGCGAAGGCGGCCUGCUGG